rnacentral:rRNA from 1 species
AGCAGCCGCGGUAAUUCCAGCUCCAAUAGCGUAUAUUAAAGUUGUUGCAGUUAAAAAGCUCGUAGUUGAAUUUCGGGAUCAGUACGCUGGUCGUGCCUUUGGUAUGUACUGGUGUCACUGAUUCCUCCCUUCUGAAGAACCGUUAUGCCAUUUAUUUGGUGUGGCGGGAAAUCAGGACUGUUACUUUGAAAAAAUUAGAGUGUUUAAAGCAGGCUCACGCUUGAAUACAUUAGCAUGGAAUAAUGAAAUAGGACGUUUGAUUCUAUUUUGUUGGUUUCUAGGAUCGACGUAAUGAUUAAUAGGGAUAGUUGGGGGCAUUAGUAUUCAAUCGUCAGAGGUGAAAUUCUUGGAUUUAUUGAAGACUAACUACUGCGAAAGCAUUUGCCAAGGAUGUUUUCAUUAAUCAAGAACGAAAGUUAGGGGAUCGAAGACGAUCAGAUACCGUCGUAGUCUUAACCAUAAACUAUGCCGACUAGGGAUCGGAUGAUGUUAAUUUUUAAUGACUCAUUC